GUGAAUCAUCGAAUCUUUGAACGCAAAUUGCACUCUCCGGUUUUCCGGGAGAGUAUGCCUGUUUGAGGGUCAGCCUAAAAAAAAAUCGACAUUGUUGCUGUUAUUUAAUGGUGACUUUCGUCGGAGAUUGGGUUAUCUUAAACCUUUUUUUUUUUUGGUUAAACGGCUUUAAAUUUUUCUUUCCCGAUUCAUUGAAGUUUUUAAGGUUUUUAUUUUUUUAUA
rnacentral:misc_RNA from 1 species